UACGUAGGGUGCGAGCGUUAAUCGGAAUUACUGGGCGUAAAGCGUGCGCAGGCGGCGCGUUAAGACAGGUGUGAAAGCCCCGAGCUUAACUUGGGAAUUGCGCUUGUGACUGGCGUGCUGGAGUGCGGCAGAGGGGGAUGGAAUUCCGCGUGUAGCAGUGAAAUGCGUAGAUAUGUGGAGGAACACCGAUGGCGAAGGCAAUCCCCUGGGCCUGCACUGACGCUCAUGCACGAAAGCGUGGGGAGCAAACAGG
rnacentral:rRNA from 1 species